rnacentral:rRNA from 1 species
AGCGAACGCUGGCGGCAGGCCUAACACAUGCAAGUCGAACGAACUCUUCGGAGUUAGUGGCGGACGGGUGAGUAACACGUGGGAACGUGCCUUUUGGCUCGGAAUAACUCAGGGAAACUUGUGCUAAUACCGAAUGUGCCCUUCGGGGGAAAGAUUUAUCGCCAUUAGAGCGGCCCGCGUCUGAUUAGCUAGUUGGUGAGGUAACGGCUCACCAAGGCGACGAUCAGUAGCUGGUCUGAGAGGAUGACCAGCCACACUGGGACUGAGACACGGCCCAGACUCCUACGGGAAGCAGCAGUGGGGAAUCUUGCGCAAUGGGCGAAAGCCUGACGCAGCCAUGCCGCGUGAAUGAUGAAGGUCUUAGGAUUGUAAAAUUCUUUCACCGGGGACGAUAAUGACGGUACCCGGAGAAGAAGCCCCGGCUAACUUCGUG